UCAACACGUUACAUCAACAACUGUCCUUCCAAAUCUAUAAUUUUUCAGGAUGCAAAUCAAGUAUGAUCUCUUCCACAUUCUCUGAAUCCUUUUGUAAUUUUCCAACCCAUUCUAGUUUUUCAGUAUUUCUCACUAUCAAGAUUCUUGAGAAAUGUACAUCCGAAUUUUCCUAUAAGACAGGGAGCUCCUUGAAGGCAGAGUUCAGGUCUAAUUUGUAUUCCAUUUUCUCCCAGUGCUUAGCACAGCACUUAGCACAAAGUAGGCAUUACCAGCUUUUACCAAGACCUUGCCAUAUGCCAGGAGAGUGCUGGGGAUGACAGCACAGAGCCAGCUCACAUGUUCUGCUGCUGGGAUUCCAAGAGCUGGAAGCAUACCUGUUAAAUAAGCCUGUUCAGUGCCUUUAUGAUCACUGCAACAUCAAUCAUUGAAACCACCAUUAUACUAGUUCCACCAUCUCUUACCUGGGUCCCCUUAAGCCAAGGAUUUGUUGCCCGCGGCCAACAGCCUGCCGCUGGCACCCCCUUCUGAACCUCCUCCAAGAGCACGCACAUCCCAAGGCAGCCCCAGCCAGAGACUGACAGACAGGAGGCCGAAGUCCCGGCCAUUCGGCCGAUGUGGGCCGUCGACACCCAACGUGGGGCUGGUUGAGGUGCUGGCAGCCUGCGUCCCAGCUAGGCUUCCUCCUCUACGCCCCCCUGCUGCCUCUCCUGCCCUCCCACAGGGAUUUGUCCCUAAUAAAUGCCCUGCCCAUCACA